rnacentral:rRNA from 1 species
UGCAAGUCGAGCGGUAACAGAUCCAGCUUGCUGGAUGCUGACGAGCGGCGGACGGGUGAGUAAUGCAUAGGAAUCUGCCCGAUAGUGGGGGAUAACCUGGGGAAACCCAGGCUAAUACCGCAUACGUCCUACGGGAGAAAGGGGGCUUCGGCUCCCGCUAUCGGAUGAGCCUAUGUCGGAUUAGCUAGUUGGUGAGGUAACGGCUCACCAAGGCCACGAUCCGUAGCUGGUCUGAGAGGAUGAUCAGCCACAUCGGGACUGAGACACGGCCCGAACUCCUACGGGAGGCAGCAGUGGGGAAUAUUGGACAAUGGGGGGAACCCUGAUCCAGCCAUGCCGCGUGUGUGAAGAAGGCCCUCGGGUUGUAAAGCACUUUCAGCGAGGAAGAACGCCUAGCGGUUAAUACCCGCUAGGAAAGACAUCACUCGCAGAAGAAGCACCGGCUAACUCCGUGCCAGCAGCCGCGGUAAUACGGAGGGUGCAAGCGUUAAUCGGAAUUACUGGGCGUAAAGCGCGCGUAGGUGGCUUGAUAAGCCGGUUGUGAAAGCCCCGGGCUCAACCUGGGAACGGCAUCCGGAACUGUCAAGCUAGAGUGCAGGAGAGGAAGGUAGAAUUCCCGGUGUAGCGGUGAAAUGCGUAGAGAUCGGGAGGAAUACCAGUGGCGAAGGCGGCCUUCUGGACUGACACUGACACUGAGGUGCGAAAGCGUGGGUAGCAAACAGGAUUAGAUACCCUGGUAGUCCACGCCGUAAACGAUGUCGACCAGCCGUUGGGUGCCUAGCGCACUUUGUGGCGAAGUUAACGCGAUAAGUCGACCGCCUGGGGAGUACGGCCGCAAGGUUAAAACUCAAAUGAAUUGACGGGGGCCCGCACAAGCGGUGGAGCAUGUGGUUUAAUUCGA